GACAGAGGAUGCAAGCGUUAUCCGGAAUGAUUGGGCGUAAAGCGUCUGUAGGUGGCUUUUAAGUCCGCCGUAAAUCCCAGGCUCAACCCUGGACAGGCGGUGGAAACUACCAAGCUGGAGUACGGUAGGGCAGAGGGAAUUUCCGGUGGAGCGGUGAAAUGCGUAGAGAUCGGAAAGAACACCAACGGCGAAAGCACUCUGCUGGGCCGACACUGACACUGAGAGACGAAAGCUAGGGGAGCGAAUGGGAUUAGAACCUACCGGG
rnacentral:rRNA from 1 species